rnacentral:rRNA from 1 species
AGAGGUUGAUCAUGGCUCAGAUUGAACGCUGGCGGCAGGCCUAACACAUGCAAGUCGAACGGUAACAGGAAGAAGCUUGCUUCUUUGCUGACGAGUGGCGGACGGGUGAGUAAUGUCUGGGAAACUGCCUAAUGGAGGGGGAUAACUACUGGAAACGGUAGCUAAUACCGCAUAACGUCGCAAGACCAAAGAGGGGGACCUUCGGGCCUCUUGCCAUCGGAUGUGCCCAGAUGGGAUUAGCUAGUAGGUGGGGUAACGGCUCACCUAGGCGACGAUCCCUAGCUGGUCUGAGAGGAUGACCAGCCACACUGGAACUGAGACACGGUCCAGACUCCUACGGGAGGCAGCAGUGGGGAAUAUUGCACAAUGGGCGCAAGCCUGAUGCAGCCAUGCCGCGUGUAUGAAGAAGGCCUUCGGGUUGUAAAGUACUUUCAGCGGGGAGGAAGGGAGUAAAGUUAAUACCUUUGCUCAUUGACGUUACCCGCAGAAGAAGCACCGGCUAACUCCGUGCCAGCAGCCGCGGUAAUACGGAGGGUGCAAGCGUUAAUCGGAAUUACUGGGCGUAAAGCGCACGCAGGCGGUCUGUUAAGUCAGAUGUGAAAUCCCCGGGCUCAACCUGGGAACUGCAUCUGAUACUGGCAAGCUUGAGUCUCGUAGAGGGGGGUAGAAUUCCAGGUGUAGCGGUGAAAUGCGUAGAGAUCUGGAGGAAUACCGGUGGCGAAGGCGGCCCCCUGGACGAAGACUGACGCUCAGGUGCGAAAGCGUGGGGAGCAAACAGGAUUAGAUACCCUGGUAGUCCACGCCGUAAACGAUGUCGACUUGGAGGUUGUGCCCUUGAGGCGUGGCUUCCGGAGCUAACGCGUUAAGUCGACCGCCUGGGGAGUACGGCCGCAAGGUUAAAACUCAAACGAAUUGACGGGGGCCCGCACAAGCGGUGGAGCAUGUGGUUUAAUUCGAUGCAACGCGAAGAACCUUACCUGGUCUUGACAUCCACGGAAGUUUUCAGGGAUGAGAAUGUGCCUUCGGGAACCGUGAGACAGGUGCUGCAUGGCUGUCGUCAGCUCGUGUUGUGAAAUGUUGGGUUAAGUCCCGCAACGAGCGCAACCCUUAUCCUUUGUUGCCAGCGGUCCGGCCGGGAACUCAAAGGAGACUGCCAGUGAUAAACUGGAGGAAGGUGGGGAUGACGUCAAGUCUUCAUGGCCCUUACGACCAGGGCUACACACGUGCUACAAUGGCGCAUACAAAGAGAAGCGACCUCGCGAGAGCAAGCGGACCUCAUAAAGUGCGUCGUAGUCCGGAUUGGAGUCUGCAACUCGACUCCAUGAAGUCGGAAUCGCUAGUAAUCGUGGAUCAGAAUGCCACGGUGAAUACGUUCCCGGGCCUUGUACACACCGCCCGUCACACCAUGGGAGUGGGUUGCAAAAGAAGUAGGUAGCUUAACCUUCGGGAGGGCGCUUACCACUUUGUGAUUCAUGACUGGGGUGAAGUCGUAACAAGGUA